rnacentral:tRNA from 1 species
UCGCGGGAUGGAGCAGUCUGGUAGCUCGUCGGGCUCAUAACCCGAAGGUCAUAGGUUCAAAUCCUAUUCCCGCAAUAUGGUCCCUUAGUGUAGUGGUUAUCACGCCUCCCUGUCACGGAGGAGAUCACCGGUCCGAAUCCGGUAGGGACCGUAAUGGCUCGAUAGCUCAGUUGGUAGAGCAAAGGAUUGAAGCUCCUUGUGUCGGCGGUUCGAUUCCGUCUCGCGCCAUUCUGGAGGCCUAGCGAAGUGGCUAAACGCGGCGGUCUGUAAAACCGCUCUCUCUGAGUUCGGUGGUUCGAAUCCACUGGCCUCCAUUUA